CUGUCACAGAGGCUUCAAACAGUGUGUGUGAGCAUAUUAUUAUCUGACAUUCAUAUUUAAUUGUUGCUUUGACUGAGGGUGAACGUUGAGGUUAAACCGCCUUGAUUUGAGAGCCGUUUCUGCACGACUGUGACGUUUGGCACAUGCUUUUCUCAGAGAGCGAGAGAGAGAGAGAGAGGGAGAGGGAAAGAACGAGAGAAGGAGAGGGGAAGGAGGAGGUCUGAAUGUCUUUUUGCAGUUCAGACCUCCACAGCCAGACACAACCAUCAACCUUUAUGACACCCAGAAAAUUGCAGAUUUACUCUAAAUUAUACACACGUCUGGAUGCAAACAGACACGUAUGAGACCAACAGACUCUGCAAUGAUUCUCGCUUUGUUUUUUGCAUCUUUGUGGUUUUUGUGGUUGUCUUCUGUGAGCUUCAGAGCGUCUUUACCGGCACUUGAUCUGUGAAGAGCUCUCUGCUCCAUCUUCUGCUGCCUGAGACGUGAACCCCAGAGAGACUCUUAAUGAAUCAGUUUUCGCCGCUCGAUGCCAUGGCGUUCAACCGGCGGCUUUUGUAAUUCUCUCUGAAGGACGGAUCUUCAGGUGUAGUCGAGCGUCGUGGGAUAGUUACAGAGGAAACAUCACGCUGCCGAGGAUCCCGGAGUCUAACAUGGCUCUGAGCGUGUUAGGUAUGUUUCUGGGAUUGCUUCUGGAAGUUUCCACACACGGACCCUCCAGCGUUCCCAGAAGCUCAUGGAGGCAUGACGGUGAGUGAAGGGUUAAAGUUUCUCUUGUCAGAAAUGAAACCUCUGCAGGUGCCACACAUCUGACUUCCUGUGCUUAUAAAACAUGCUUCUGAAUUGUGUGUAUAAAUAUAUAAUUUUUUUUAACAUUGUAUAUUAGAAUGAUUUCUGAAGGAUCAUGUGACACUGAAGACUGGAGUAAUGAUGCUUUGAUCACAGGAAUAAAUUUCAUUUCAACAGAUAUUCA
ensembl:lncRNA